rnacentral:sRNA from 1 species
CCUUUGGAGUGUCAUACCAAACAUGAGUAGAUUUAUAUCAAAAAUGGACACGUUGAACAAGGAA